UACGUAGGUGGCAAGCGUUGUCCGGAAUCACUGGGCGUAAAGCGCACGUAGGCGGAUUGCUAAGUCAGGGGUGAAAAUCCUGGAGCUCAACUCCAGAACUGCCUUUGAUACUGGCGAUCUUGAGUCCGGGAGAGGUGAGUGGAACUGCGAGUGUAGAGGUGAAAUUUCGUAGAUAUUCGCAAGAACACCAGUGGCGAAGGCGGCUCACUGGCCCCGGUACUGACGCUG
rnacentral:rRNA from 1 species